UGCAGCGACGCCGCGUGAGGGAUGACGGCCUAUCGGGUUGUAAACCUCUUUCAGCAGGGACGAAGCGCAAGUGACGGUACCUGUAGAAGAAGCACCGGCCAACUACGUGCCAGCAGCCGCGGUAAUACGUAGGGUGCGAGCGUUGUCCGGAAUUACUGGGCGUAAAGAGCUCGUAGGUGGUUUGUCGCGUUGUUCGUGAAAACUCACAGCUCAACUGUGGGCGUGCGGGCGAUACGGGCAGACUUGAGUACUGCAGGGGAGACUGGAAUUCCUGGUGUAGCGGUGGAAUGCGCAGAUAUCAGGAGGAACACCGGUGGCGAAGGCGGGUCUCUGGGCAGUAACUGACGCUGAGGAGCGAAAGCGUGGGGAGCGAACAGGAUUAGAUACCCUGGUAGUCCACGCCGUAAACGGUGGGUACUAGGUGUGGGUUUCCUUCCUUGGGAUCCGUGCCGUAGCUAACGCAUUAAGUACCCCGCCUGGGGAGUACGGCCGCAAGGCUAAAACUCAAAGAAAUUGACGGGGGCCCGCACAAGCGGCGGAGCAUGUGGAUUAAUUCGAUGCAACGCGAAGAACCUUACCUGGGUUUGACAUGCACAGGACGCCGGCAGAGAUGUCGGUUCCCUUGUG
rnacentral:rRNA from 1 species